rnacentral:tRNA from 2 species
GGAGGGGUACUCAAGCGGUGAAGAGGGCAGUUUGCUAAACUGUUAGUACCUACUAAUAAUAGGUAGCAAGGGUUCGAAUCCCUUCCCCUCCG